AAAUUGCAGCGGACUUAGGAAACCGAAGCCCACGCCAGAGCACCCUUCGAGACAGUGGUUGCGAGAGAGUGGGAAGGCGACUUGUUUUGGCAAAAGUCCUGCAAGCGAUUCCUCUUUCUAUCUAUCGGGAAAUCUGCUUCCUAGAGUCAAAUUUUCAAGAUGAUCAUUCGAAGUAUUGCAACUUUGUCCUUGCUGACAUCUAUGGACAAGAUUGCCCCGGCUUGAAUAGAUUGUCCUCUUUUAUUAGCCUUUUUUGUUUUUAGUUAUCAUUUAUAUUUUUUAUGUUUCGACUUUGCAGCUGUGGUCAUUAACAUUUGAAUUGAUUAGCAUAUUUAUGAUUAUGUUUUUUAUGCUGUUGAAAGAAAGCUCAGCUGUUAAAGACCCCAGCUGAUUGUUGAAGAGACAUUACACCUCUUUGCCCUUGCGGGAAUAUAAAAGACUUAAGAUAUUAUCUGAAACUGCCAAGUCAACAGCUGAGUAAUAAUGGCUGAUGCAAAACCUAUUGACUCUGCUGGAGCCUUUGGGAUCCCCAAAUGGAUGAUGCGUAAAGGAACAAGAUUGUUUGCAUAUGGCACAACCAACUCAGAUUUUGAAGCUGCUCAAAAUGAAAACAUAUAUGUGAUCAAUUACUCAUACAAGAUUUUUAGUCAAAUGAGAAUCUACCUUUAAGUCUUGCUUUGCUUUUUUUUUUAUUAAAAGGUAUUGGAGAUAUGAUUAUAGUAUAAGAAAGGAAGAAAAGGUACUGUUAUUUGAAAUUGUGCAUGGAGUGAUUUGGUCAUCAGACACGAAUACAAAUAAAAAAUCUUUAACUUUUCAGUUUUUCUACUGUCAUCAUCCUACAUAGAAGGAUCUGCCAUUUGAGUUCAGUUGUUCAGUUCAUGAGCUGGGCUGGAAUGUGCUAAUGAGUUAUAGAUCUCAAAGACUGGCAUAUGUAUAA